CCAAUGCGGGCAUGCUAUACAUGCAAGUCGAGCGGACCUCUUCGGAGAGUCAGCGGCGGACGGGUGAGUAACACGUGGGCAACCUGCCUGUAAGACUGGGAUAACUCCGGGAAACCGGAGCUAAUACCGGAUACUAUGUCAAACCGCAUGGUUUGACAUUCAAAGACGGUUUCGGCUGUCACUUACAGAUGGGCCCGCGGCGCAUUAGCUAGUUGGUGAGGUAAUGGCUCACCAAGGCGACGAUGCGUAGCCGACCUGAGAGGGUGAUCGGCCACACUGGGACUGAGACACGGCCCAGACUCCUACGGGAGGCAGCAGUAGGGAAUCUUCCGCAAUGGACGAAAGUCUGACGGAGCAACGCCGCGUGAGUGAUGAAGGUUUUCGGAUCGUAAAACUCUGUUGUCAGGGAAGAACAAGUGCCGGAGUAACUGCCGGCACCUUGACGGUACCUGACCAGAAAGCCACGGCUAACUACGUGCCAGCAGCCGCGGUAAUACGUAGGUGGCAAGCGUUGUCCGGAAUUAUUGGGCGUAAAGCGCGCGCAGGCGGUUUCUUAAGUCUGAUGUGAAAGCCCCCGGCUCAACCGGGGAGGGUCAUUGGAAACUGGGAAACUUGAGUGCAGAAGAGGAGAGUGGAAUUCCACGUGUAGCGGUGAAAUGCGUAGAGAUGUGGAGGAACACCAGUGGCGAAGGCGACUCUCUGGUCUGUAACUGACGCUGAGGCGCGAAAGCGUGGGGAGCGAACAGGAUUAGAUACCCUGGUAGUCCACGCCGUAAACGAUGAGUGCUAAGUGUUAGAGGGUUUCCGCCCUUUAGUGCUGCAGCUAACGCAUUAAGCACUCCGCCUGGGGAGUACGGUCGCAAGACUGAAACUCAAAGGAAUUGACGGGGGCCCGCACAAGCGGUGGAGCAUGUGGUUUAAUUCGAAGCAACGCGAAGAACCUUACCAGGUCUUGACAUCCUUUGCCACUUCUAGAGAUAGAAGUUCCCCUUCUGGGGACAAAGUGACAGUGGUGCAUGGUUGUCGUCAGCUCGUGUCGUGAGAUGUUGGGUAAGUCCCGCACGAGCGCACCCUUGAUCUAGUGCAGCAUCAGUGGGCACUCUAAGGUGACUGCGGUGACAACCGGAAGAAAGUUGCAU
rnacentral:rRNA from 1 species